rnacentral:RNase_P_RNA from 1 species
GGAGGGGGUUGCGCGGCCGCCGGCGUGUUACACGCGCGGGAGGAAAGUCCGGGCUCCACAGAGCGGGGUGGUGGGUAACGCCCACCGGGGGAGCCCUCCAGGGGGCGAACCCCAGGGAAAGUGCCACAGAGAGCAGACCGCCUACGUCCCCGGUUUCCGGGGGCCGGCAAGGGUGAAACGGUGAGGUAAGAGCUCACCAGCGGCCCGGGUGACCGGGCCGGCUCGGUAAACCCCACCCGGAGCAAGGCCAAAUAGGGAAGCGCCCGAGGGCUGCUCGUCCGAUGCUUCCGGGUAGGCCGCUCGAGGCCGCGGGCAACCGUGGUCCUAGAUGAAUGGCCGCGGCCCCGCCUUCGGCGGGGUACAGAACCCGGCUUACAGACCCCCUUCGGCU